rnacentral:miRNA from 1 species
ACGGGUUAGGCUCUUGGGACGC